AGAUCUGAAUGUGCAGUAUGUGAGACUGAUCACAAUGUUACUUCAAGCCUUUGCAUCUCUUCUGAGACCAGAGAGAGAAGCUAAUGUGACUCAUUCCUGAGAAGCUCAAAAUACUCAUAUUUAAAAGUCAGAUGCAGACUUACUACAGCGGUGCAUUCCAGAA